rnacentral:pre_miRNA from 1 species
AAUUAAGUCCUCUAUCUAUCCACCUUCUUCAAUCAGAUCCUUACGUUAGAAUAAUUGAGAGAGAAAAAUUCACGUGUUAUUCAUUUGUUAUGAAACUAUCCCAAUGACCAAAAAGCCUUAAACACAAAAAACCUCAUUCACAAUGUAAUGCUCAGGAGAACUAGAUCUAGUUAGAAAACUCUUCGAAUAAUAGGUGUAAUAUUUAACACCGUCUUGAACUGUUGUCACUGAAGAAUCCGAUUGAAGAAAGGUAGACAGAUAGAGGACUUAAU